UAAUCAGACAGACAGGGAGAAGGUGAACCAGGUUGGACUGACAGUACAGUUGAAAGUUUGGUGUCCCUGAUAAUGCAACAUUACCAGCCUAAUUUGCACAGUUAUGACAGCUUCCAGAUGAAGAAUAUCGACAUUCAUAAAUCGUUUUAAAUUAGGAAACCAAAUUAGAUGUCUCUCAUGGCUAUUUAAGACAAAUCCUUUGGUGUCCUCAACAUCCAUACUCAAAAUAAAUGCCAUCCAGGUGAAGAUCUUGCUUUGUGUCUGUGGUCUUCAUUUUAGGCUGGAACUCUGAAGCAAUGUUUAAAGGAUAGGUACUUCUGAAUCAAUGAAAAGAGACGGUCUUGGACCUGCCUUGUUGUCUGUCUGAUUCCCCUUUUGAAGGAGGGUAAGGUUGAGGACCACACAAGAGAUUAGUACCCAUAAACCUCUGCACUGAUCACCACAAUGCCAGAGCACUUGGAGUUGCUAGGGGAAGUAGAACAAUGUACUAACAAAGUUUGUUCAUUGGUGGUUCUAACCUGCUGGAUCUUUGGUCUAAGUUAUAGAACCAACGAUCUCCACUGUCUUAAUUCCCUCAUAGCCUUAACAUCUCAUUAUUAGUGUU